CUGCACAGAUGUAUAUGUACUGUUUCUGCAGGUUCGAUUUUUUGCAAAUACUGGCUGUAUUCUGUACAUAUAUCUGUACGUAUUUUUUUCUAAAAGUAUGUGUGGGGGAAAACAUGAUAAAAUAGCUGAUAAAAAAAGAAUAUCAGUUUCUGAAAUGUUCAACUGCUCAUCAAGUAAGGAAGGUUUCAUUUUAAUGUGAGAUAAGAGAGAGGUGGGCAUAAAAAGAAAGCCUUCAGGUGAACGAUGUCUUCAGCAUUUUACAUUUAAAUAAAUAUUAGCUUAUUUGAUUUAGCUAAAAUUGAAAAAGUAUAAUUAAGUGGUUUUACAGAGAUUUGGAAUAAAACGUUUACAUAUGCCAGUAUUGAAAUCUAAUCUAAUUAAUAGUUAGACUCUUAAAAAUAAAUUAAACUAUCAACAGACUACUGUGUAUGACAGUAUAACAUGCACAUAACAUCUUUGUGAAAUAAAAGGUUUGAGAAGACGUUUCCUAAUCUCUGAAUCAACAUGCACUUCACCUGCAGACAUCUUCUACCAAUCCUCCUCACUGUCUAUUUGACUCUAAACAGACAAACUGCCUUUGAUAGAGCAGCUUUGAUACAACAUUUCUGCCCACGUUUAUGAAGCAAGGAUUUCUAAUAACUGUACUAAAAAUCUCUUCUUCACUGAAGAACACGGUUGAUCAAAGCACAAUCCAAAUAUAUUAUAUAUUUCCUUUCUCCAUUUCCAAGUUAGUGGGAGGUGGGAGUAAGCAAAUACCUAUCUUGUCAAUGGAUGGGGGAGCUUCUAUUCUAAAGUUGCUGCCAACUGUCAGAUGCCAGCAUUGAUGAGCCUAGAGAUUUAAGUGCCAGUGCAGAUUCCACCCUCCAGUGCACCAAGCAUCGUGAAGAAUGUCAGAGAUGAUGAGCACAGUUGCUCCUCCGAAAAUGAGCUGGAAUAAGCAGUGUGAGCGAGCGGAGCAGCCCACGGUCCGACCUCAGAUCUGCAUGACUGCAGACACUGACGGCUGCAGACAGAGGCCCGGCGCUGGCCAGGUGGUUCUUACAUCUGGCCCAUUAGCUCUCAGCCACAGCCA